UGCGUAGGCGGCUUUCUAAGUCGGAUGUGAAAACUCUGGGCUCAACCCAGAGCCUGCAUCUGAAACUGGAGAGCUAGGGUUCUGGAGGGGAAAGCGGAAUUCCUGGUGUAGCGGUGAAAUGCGUAGAUAUCAGGAGGAACACCGGUGGCGAAGGCGGCUUUCUGGACAGAUACCGACGCUGAGGCACGAAAGGCUAGGGGAGCAAACA
rnacentral:rRNA from 1 species